UCCUACGGGGGGCAGCAGUGAGGAAUAUUGGUCAAUGGGCGGGAGCCUGAACCAGCCAAGCCGCGUGAGGGAAGAAGGUACAGCGUAUCGUAAACCUCUUUUGUCAGGGAACAAAGGCGGGGACUCGUCCCCGGAUGAGGGUACCUGAAGAAAAAGCAUCGGCUAACUCCGUGCCAGCAGCCGCGGUAAUACGGAGGAUGCGAGCGUUAUCCGGAUUUAUUGGGUUUAAAGGGUGCGCAGGCGGCCUGUUAAGUCAGCGGUCAAAGCCCGGGGCUCAACCCCGGCGCGCCGUUGAAACUGGCAGG
rnacentral:rRNA from 1 species